GCAGGGAGACAGCUGUCCCUUCUGCCCCUGUGAAGUCACUCACAGGGAAUGAAAGGUUCUGCAGCUGUGGAAGGAGGAUCGCUGCAUCAGGAGAGGCUGCACGUUCAGACACAUGGAAAUUGUAUGAAGAUGAUGCAAUUGGCCUUCCACUGAAGAACGGAAUUGCUGAAAUGCAGUGGAAGAAAACAGUCUGAAAAAUGAGCCAAGUGAGAGGUAGAGAUAGACAACAGGAUUGGAUGCAGAGCUUUUCAGUUCAGAUUUUCUGUAUGUUCUCUUUGCACGUUGAUUAAGGUCGUAAACACUGGGAUUUACAGUUAAA